rnacentral:rRNA from 1 species
UAAGGUAUCGUAAUCAUUUGGCUUUUAAAUGGAGUCAGGUAUGAAUGGGAAAACCCGGUGAAGCUGUCUCUAUACUAUUUCUUUUAAUUUACUGUUCAAGUGAAAAAGCUUGAAUAAUUUAAAGGGACGAGAAGACCCUUAGAAUUUUUAUUAAACCUUUAUUUUCGGUGAAAAUUUUUGCUGGGGCGGCAAAGAAAUAAAUAUAAACUUUCUUCUAUAACAAGCCGAAUAUAUUAAGCAUGAAUAAAUUACCUAAGGGAUAACAGCAUAAUUCUAUUAAUGAGUUUGUGACCUC